GUUGGUUCGAAUAUUUUGUCUGUUUUUUUACUUGUUUCAGAACCUUGGUUUUAGUGUGCAUUUCCUGGAACUCCUGGAAUCGUGUAUGUUAGUUCCUAGGUGGGCUUUAAAGAUCAUCUGAUUCCAUACCUUCCAUUUGCCAGUGAAGAAACUGAGAUGGGAGAAGGAGUGCUGCCUGAGUUUGUGGCAAACCCUGAACUGGGCCACAUCUUCCAACUUGAGAUUGAAGUCACUUUGAAAGCAGUGAGCUCCUGGGAGAAAAGAAGGGGUUUGGGGAAUUUCAAGUCAAGACUCUUUUGUGUCAGAGGGAGCGCAUGAAUCCGGGCAACGUGACUCAAGAGCUGGCUGACGUUCCAGGACAGCACAAAGGAACGGAACUUGUUUUCAUUUUAUGAGUGAGCAAACCAAUGGACAGUUUUUGGGGUUACUCGUGAUUACUCCUCGGUCCAGAACUCAGGCAGCAAUCUGAGCCACUCAACUGCUCUUCUUUACCCCUCUACCUCUGCGGUUCAUUGAUGGCCAAAGCUGAGCCAGGCUCCUGGGACAGGAGGAGGAGGCGGGCCUGGGAACGUCCACUUAGGAUAACACACAAUUUGUACUCAUAAAGAAAUUUUCACCUCUUUGUAUGGACCGUGGUAAUUAUUUUACCUUCUUUUGUGAACUUGCACAUUCUCAGAGAGUUUAUUUAAGCGGAGUCUGAAAGUGGAGAAUUCUCACACAGAUAAAAGAGUGGCGACCUGAAAUUGAAUCAUCAGGAAGUGUCUUAUGGCAAAAUAGACUUAGUAUCGAACUAAAGGAAGAAACAUUUCAAACAUUUUCUUUAAGGAAAACUUAAUGGAUGUGAUGUGACUUAAUAUUGUCCAGACUGACCCAACAGCAGGAGGUGGUGCCUUCAGGGACUUUGCAUCUCAAUCCACAGGAAAAGGGUUCGAUUUAGAUGAGAAAGAGGGGGCAGGGCACAGCUAAGGCUGGAGAGGCUUCCUGUCCAGGGAUUAGUCUUCACUCUUCAUGUUGACAGUAGAAUGGUAAAUGGGGCUUUCUUAAAAUACAACUCCCAAACACUGGGAGGUCGAUGUGCUUUCCAAAUGCUCACUGAUUCCUAAUGUUCGGCGCAGCAUGGGGCCACCGAAAAUGGUGCUUAUCAUAUGGAGUUUGUGGAACAUCUCCUGUGUGUACUACAGGGACUCUACUAUCCUCUGUGAUCACAAUUUCACUGGGCCAGUCACCUAGAAAAUGUCACAGAGGUGUCUAAUCUUUUGGCUUCCCUGGGCCACAUGGGAAGAAUUGUCUUGCGCCAUACAUAAAAUACACUAAUGGGCCGGGCGCGGUGGCUCACACCUGUAAUCCCAGCACUUUGGGAGGCCGAGGCGGGUGGAUCACGAGGUCAAGAGAUCGAGACCAUCCUGGUCAACAUGGUGAAACCCCAUCUCUACUAAAAAUACAAAAAAUAAGCUGGGCAUGGUGGUGGGUGCCUGUAAUCCCAGCUACUCAGGAGGCUGAGGCAGGAGAAUUGCCUGAACCCAGGAGGCGGAGGUUGCAGUGAGCCGAGAUCGCGCCAUUGCACUCCAGCCUGGGUAACAAGAGCGAAACUCUGUCUCAAAAAAAAAAAAAAAUACACUAAUGAUAGCUGAUGACCUAAAAAAGGACAUUGCAAAAAUAUCUCAAUGUUUUAAGAAAGUUUACAAAUUU
rnacentral:lncRNA from 1 species